GGUUAAGCGACUAAGCGUACACGGUGGAUGCCCUGGCAGUCAGAGGCGAUGAAGGRCGUGCUAAUCUGCGAUAAGCGCCGGUAAGGUGAUAUGAACCGUUAUAACCGGCGAUACCCGAAUGGGGAAACCCAGUGUGACUCGUCACACUAUCAUUAACUGAAUCCAUAGGUUAAUGAGGCGAACCGGGGGAACUGAAACAUCUAAGUACCCCGAGGAAAAGAAAUCAACCGAGAUUCCCCCAGUAGCGGCGAGCGAACGGGGAGGAGCCCAGAGCCUGAAUCAGCAUGUGU
rnacentral:rRNA from 1 species